GCCAGGCGUUGUGGUGGGCGCCUGUAGUUCCAGCUGCUUGGGAGGCUGAGGCAGGAGACUCGCUUGAGCCCAGGAGUUGGAGGUUGCUGUGAGCUUUGAUGCCAUGGCACUCUACUCAGGGGGAUAGCUUGAGGCUCUGUUUCAAAAAAAAAAAAAAAAAAUGGGAAAGCAAGUAUUCAGUGUACUCAAUUUUUUUUUUUUUUUUUGAGACGGAGCCUUAAGCUAUCCCCCUGGGUAGAGUGCCAUGGCAUCACAGCUCACAGCAACCUCCAACUCCUGGGCUCAAGCGAGUCUCCUGCCUCAG
rfam:Otolemur garnettii contig036460, whole genome shotgun sequence.